rnacentral:rRNA from 1 species
CACGUAGGGGGCAAGCGUUGUCCGGAUUUAUUGGGCGUAAAGAGCUCGUAGGCGGCUUAGUAAGUCGGGUGUGAAACCUCCAGGCUCAACCUGGAGACGCCACCCGAUACUGCUGUGGCUAGAGUCCGGUAGGGGAGCGUGGAAUUCCUGGUGUAGCGGUGAAAUGCGCAGAUAUCAGGAGGAACACCAGCGGCGAAGGCGGCGCUCUGGGCCGGUACUGACGCUGAGGCGCGAAGGCUAGGGGAGCAAACAGG